UGAUCACGCGAGGUCGGCCUCCGAGCGUCACAAACCUCAACAGAUACUCUAAAUGUGCUCAAUUGUCAUGACCCAUUUUAAUUGCAUUGAUAAUCUAAAAAAAUUAUCCAUGUAGCAUACCAGGAAAAUUGGAUGCCAUUCCGAUCGAUAACAUGCUACAUCCUGGCUGGUAGUUACAAAGGUCGCAUCUCAUGAAUGAUAAAACUUGCCAUAUAUGGAGAAUAUCGAUUGUCGUCUGCAUAGAUUGGGACGCGCGGAGAAGAGAUCGUUUUGGUGAGAGAACUGGUAAGACAAGUUUUGCAGACGAUAUAUGGAUUGAAUGAGAAAUGACAGAAAAUAGCAACACAUGGUAUUGAGAAAAUAUCGAUAAAACGUACCGGUUAAAUUGUACAUAUGGAUCAAUGUGAUGACUUGACUAUGAAAAUGUCGAAUACGAGUCAUUGAUGUUUAAGGAUUGUAGAAGGAUGAUUUGCCAUCGACGUGACAUUAAUAGUUUUUUCCUCGGCAAAAUUGGUGGAUUUUGUUUUUAUAUUGGAAAUGGUCGUGCUACUUUGGAAUUAUUUCCUUAAUUUGGCGGGAAGUGAAGCGGUGUCACGUGCUGUUUCUUUAGGAGUCAUUGGGUGAAUAUAGGAGUUGUAAAAGAGCGACAGAAGAUUUUUACAGACCCUUAUCAUUUCUUCGUCCACAUUUUGUGUUUGAAAGAUGUGAGAUUGUGUGUAAUUGAUAUAUACAUGUGUCUGUAUAUAGUGAAUGUUUGCAUGGUUGUUACAUGUAGAUACAAUUGAUAAUUAAUGUUUGCAUGGUUGUUGCAGUUGAUAGUGAAUGUCUGCAUGAUUGUAACUACAUGACUGUUAUAGUUGAUAAUGAAUGUUUGUAUGGUUGUAACAACAUGGUUGUUACAGUUGAUAAUGAAUGUUAGCAUGGUUGUAACUAUAUGUAUGUAGAUACAGUUAUGCACGUUGUCAUUGCUGUAAGUAUGUAUGCAUGUGAUUGUACGCGGUAUGUGUUGAAUAUGUUUUUGCAUGAUGUAUGAGCUUGUAUACUAGAAUGUUUGUGUAUUGUGGUAGAUUGCAUGUUUAGCGAGAAUAUCUGACGAAACGCCAGAUAUAAUCAGAAUGUAAUUAAUCCAAAAUCGAACAAUUGCAUGAAUUUGGCGUUGUUCCAUGGCAUGACAUACAGUGAUAUGAGUUUAGAACUUGCACGUGAAUGACUAAAAUCAACUAGUUGUUAACUUAUACCUAAACAAUUUAAUUUAUUGCAGUUGUUUUACUCCCCUUCUUCAAUGAAUCAAGAAAAUAUUACCUCUGCCGAUAAACGCAUUGAAAGCACGGGGUGUAUGUAUAUAUAUAUAUAUAUAUAUAUAUAUAGAGAGAGAGAGAGAGAGAGAGUAAUCUCCCUUUACGGUAUUAGUACGUUCUCAUAAAUUUGUUAUACACACUUUAAAAGCUGAUACUCUAAUAACUUAAUGUAAAAAUAUACGUACAUGGAAAUUAAGAUGUAUUAAUUACAAAAGUUACCAAUGCUGAUAUAUGUUAAAUAUUUAGAUUUCAAUUUCAGGCGCAAAACGGGCGAUACUCUUAGAUAGACAAAGGGGGGUUGGAUGGCCGAAUGGUUAGCGCGAGCGCGUUGUAUCAUAAGGUCUGUCAUUGAGUCAACUGGCGUGAUUUCGAUUCCCCGGUGUGACAGGGGUAGGGUCGCCUGUCCAACCUCGUGGAUUUUCUCCGGGUCCUCCGAUUUCCUCCCACUGCUAAAGACCCCGCCGCGCACGCGAAUUAUUGAAAUAAAAUUGAACCAUAUGUUAGUCCCGGAAUGACCUAGUUUGUGUCGAGUGGACGUUAAACCCCAUUUCUCUCUCUCUCUCUCUCUUUAGAUAGACAAGUCCUACCAGAAGAUAACCUGCACUUAAAGCUGAAUAAAAACCAACUGGAUGUACAGAGUGGUGUACAAUGUUCUGACAACAAGGGAGAUGAUAACUUUCACUUAUUUCACGUUUCCUUGUCACUUGUUCGUCUCGUCUGAUAUAUAGAACUGGACGGAGAACUGAUAAGGGCCUGUGGGUGAGCUUACAGCAUUUUGCACACAUUUUCAUUUUCGUUUUUCCAAAGGUACGUUCGUGUAAAGAGGAUAAAUGUGUCUCUCCUUAAUACAUUAAUUUGAAAACGUUUCACGUUUCCUUGUCACUUGUUCGUCUGGUCUGUUAUAUAGAACUGGACGGAGAACUGAUAAGGGCUUGUGGGUGACAAACCAGCCAUUUGCAUAUUGCUAUAGACAUUAAUAUACCUCAAAUAUAAAGUUGCUAGUGAUUGUUAUCCAUAAAGUUGUGUUUGUGUUUUAUAAAUGUUUUCCUAUCACUAAAUGCCUUACAAACAAUAACUCAAAUAUGUGAUAAAGUAAUGUCAGUUAGAUUUGAGUUUAGAACAGCUUUUAAUUGAAAGUCAUUUAAAGUAUUUAUUUCAACUGCCUUGUUAUAAUCAGAAUAAUUUGAUGUUUUUUUACAGUGGAGGGUGGGGUAACCUUAUUAUUUCAAUUAGAUAUUUCAGUAUUUGAAUUCCAGCAUUGAGAAGCAGCCUGAUUCUGACUGGGAUUAUAACGACAAUGAUUAAUUUCUAGAUGACCCGACACUAUUAUUAUCAUUUAUAUAAAGAAUAUUAAAUAAAUUUGUAUAAUGUAAACUCGUUAUAUAAUUUGAUUAAUAACCUGGGAUGUUCAAAAUACUGUAAUAAAGCUAAAGUACUUUUUCAAAA